rnacentral:rRNA from 1 species
CCUACGGGAGGCAGCAGUGGGGAAUAUUGCACAAUGGGGGAAACCCUGAUGCAGCGACGCCGCGUGAGUGAAGAAUUAUUUCGGUAUGUACAGCUCUAUCAGCAUGGAAGAAAAUGACGGUACCUGAUUAAGAAGCCCCGGCUAACUACGGGCCCGCAGCCGCGGUAAUACGUAGGGGGCAAGCGUUAUCCGGAUUUACUGGGUGUAAAGGGAGCUUAGACGGCAGGACAAGUCUGGAGUGAAAUGCCGGGGAUUAACCCCGGAACAGCUGUGGAAACUGUGCCGCUAGAGUGCAGGAGAGGGGAGUGGAAUUCCGAGUGUAGCGGUGAAAUGCGUAG